rnacentral:rRNA from 1 species
CGUGGUGCACCAGGUGCGAAACCUCUGCAAUAGGCGAAAGCCUGUCAGGGUUACUUUGAGUGAUGUCCGUUAAGGAGAUCUUUUGGCACCUGUAAAAAUCGUGCCGAAUAAGGGGUGGGCAAGUCUGGUGUCAGCCGCCGCGGUAAUACUAGCACCCCGAGUGGUAGGGAUGUUUAUUGGGCCUAAAGCAUCCGUAGCCGGUUCUCCAAGUCCUCCGUUAAAUUCACAUGGUUAACAGAUGGUCUGUGGAAGAUACUAUAGAGCUAGGAGGUGGGAGAGGCAAGAGCUACUCGAUGUGUAGGGGUAAAAUCCGUUGAUCCAUUUAAGACCUCCAGUGGGGAAGGCGGCUUGCCAGAACGCGCUUGUCGGUGAGGGAUGAAAGAUGGGGGAGCAAACCGGAUUAGAUACCCGGGUAGUCCCAGCUGUUAACGAUGCAGACUCGGUGAUGAGUUGGUUUUAUGCCAACUCAGUGCCGCAGGGAAGCCGUUAAGUUUGCCGCCUCGGGAGUACGGUCGCAAGCCUGAAACUUAAA